GGGUCAAUGAUGGGAACUCCUACUGUCCUGAAGAGAGAUGAUGACGUAAAAACCGUGCUCAGUAGGGUUACGCUGAGGCCC